UCCUUGGUGGCUCAGUGGUAAAGAAUCCGCCUGCCAAAUGCAGGAGACUCAGGUUCGAUCCCUGAUCCAGGAA
rnacentral:tRNA from 1 species